AUGCCUACGGCAGAUGCUACCUUGGUGCAAUGGUGGACCGCCCUCACUCCGCAGAGGCAGCUAAGGAAAGAGAUUUGGACGGUGGUCACCCUUGUGGCAUGGACGAUCUGGAGACACCGGAAUGACAUAGUGUUCAAUGGUGCUCCCCCCUCGGCAGAGGUAGUGCUUAGGAGGAUUGACGAGGAGGGGCAGGACUGGAGGGCCGCGGGUUUGCUCCGUGAGCAUGGCUCCUUGCCACGUAGAGUAGUGAGGUUGGAUAGCGGCGAGUGA
rnacentral:rRNA from 1 species